rnacentral:rRNA from 1 species
UACAGAGGGUGCGAGCGUUGUCCGGAAUCACUGGGCGUAAAGGGCGCGUAGGCGGCUUGGUAAGUAGGGGGUGAAAUCUUGCGGCUCAACUGCAAGGCUGCCUCCUAAACUGUCAGGCUUGAGCACAGUAGAGGCAGGUGGAAUUCCCGGUGUAGCGGUGGAAUGCGUAGAGAUCGGGAAGAACAUCGGUGGCGAAGGCGGCCUGCUGGGC